AGUGGAGUGAAACAGAUCUAAACACUAUCUCGAUUUCAACGGCACAUCAAAAUCGUCGUCGACUUUGCAGGCGACGACCAAAACCCCAGCUCGCUACGAUCGCCGGAUCUCGCUCUAACCGCCAUGGCAUUCUCCACCCGCCGCGGCGCCGGCGGAUGGGCGCAGUCUCUCCUCCCCAGCGCCGCCACAAAAUCCCCAUCCAAGCAGCCGCGGAAGUCGCGGAGGCGCACCACCGCCGCCUUCCGCGAUUUCAUCUUCGCCAAUUUCUUCACAGUCGGACUCGGCGUCACCGUCUUCUUCUUCCUCUUCGUCCUAUUCCGAUUCGCCGCCGUCCCCGGGCCGAUACAGUUUCGAUCGGCGACUUCGCGCGGGCGGGCUGCCCGGCCUCGGAAGCCGGUCGUGCAUAAGUCGCCGAAUAGGACUAUUUUGGCGGCGGAUGUGGAUAUCACUACUAAGGAUCUGUAUGAUAAGAUCCAGUUUCUGGAUGAGGACGGUGGGCCGUGGAAGCAGGGGUGGCGCGUGAGUUACAAGGGUCAUGAGUGGGAUGAUGAGAAUUGAAGGUGUUUGUGGUACCGCAUUCGCAUAAUGAUCCUGGAUGGAAGCUCACUGUUGAAGAAUAUUACGAUAAGCAGUCCAGACAUAUUCUCGACACUAUUGUGGAAACACUUUCCAAGGAUGCUCGGAGAAAGUUUAUAUGGGAAGAGAUGUCUUAUUUAGAGAGGUGGUGGAGGGAUGCUUCAGAAGCGAAAAGAGAAUCCUUCACCAAUUUAGUCCAGAAUGGUCAGCUGGAAAUUGUUGCAGGUGGAUGGGUUAUGAAUGACGAGGCUAAUUCACAUUUUUUUGCUAUCAUUGAACAGAUGACAGAGGGA